rnacentral:rRNA from 1 species
AGUGAACGCUGGCGGCGUGCCUAAUACAUGCAAGUCGAGCGAACAGACGAUGAGCUUUCUCCUCUAACGUUAGCGGCGGACGGGUGAGUAACACGUGGAUAACCUACCUAUAAUACUGGGAUAACUUCGGGAAACCGGAUCUAAUACCGGAUCAUAUAUUGAACCGCAUAGUUCAAUAGUGAAACACGGUUUUGCUGUCACUUAUAGAUGGAUCCGCGCCGCAUUAGCUAGUUGGUAAGGUAACGGCUUACCAAGGCAACGAUGCGUAGCCGACCUGAGAGGGUGAUCGGCCACACUGGAACUGAGACACGGUCCAGACUCCUACGGGAGGCAGCAGUAGGGAAUCUUGCGCAAUGGGCGCAAGCCUGACGGAGCAAUGCCGCGUGAGUGAUGAAGGUCUUCGGAUUGUAAAGCUCUUUUAUUAGGGAAGAACAACUGUGGAAGUAAAUAUGCAUGUCUUGACGGUACCUAAUGAGAAAGCAACGGCUAACUACGUG